AAGUCGUAACAAGGUAACCGUAGGUGAACCUGCGGUUGGAUCAUUACCAAUUUCAACUUUUUCACAAUCAAGAAUUUCCAUUUUGCGGUGCUCCGCAGUUGGGAAUUGUGAAAAAAGGGGAAACCAACUUGUGCACCUGUAAUCGUACAUUGGCGGCUGUUCAGUGCCUUGUGCUGGACGUGCAUUCAAUUGCAAAGGCCGUCAAUUUACCAAACCUAUUAAAACUUCUAAUUCUAUCUAUUUUUCUUUCUUUCUUUUCUUUGCUGAAAAGAAAUAAAACAAAAGCUAAGAACAACUAUUAACAAUGGAUCUCUUGGCUCUC
rnacentral:misc_RNA from 1 species